UCUGAUGGGUCAUUUUAAUCUAGGAGAUACACACCACUUCCCAAGAUUCCAAAGGAAGGAAAGAAAAAGAGGAGUUGAAAGAAGAGUUUGCACGAAGUAUGAGCAAUCCUCCCCGCAGAUUUAAGGGUGAACCGUCUUGGUUUUAUCACUGGAUUAUGGGUUCUCCUGACUAAGAGCGUUUUGGCUGCUCUGCCCUCAAGCAGAGAAUGCAGAUGUGGGACCUGCUGUAAAGGAUUUACAGAAAAUAGGAGAAGUCUGAGGAUGGCCACAGAUAAAACAACAAGAAACAUCAGAUUCCUUCAUCAACUGGCCUCCUAGCAGUUGGGUGAGCUGUCGGAAGUUCGUGCCCGGUGAUGACCCACCUGCCCUCACCCCCCAGCAGGACUGGCCACCAUCUUGUCCCCUCUUCUGGCAGUCUCACAGACUCCACAUUUAAGAUUGCAGUGUCACAAGAUCAAAGGAUCCUGGAACCCUGAGACACGGCUUGAUAAGGAGCCACCCAAGAAAGCCAUCUGACCAGCAUGAUGUG